UAUCAUGUAUAGAUUAGAAGUUAUAGAUGGUCAAAUAUGGUUGACCGAUCAUGAUAAACGAUUUUUGGGCAGUCUGUAAUGGGGGCAUUCUCGUCCACUUUUUUUACUUUAAAAGAUCUGGGCUUUUGAUAUGUUGUAGUGCACUGAGUUAGGAAGCCAUAGGCUUUGGAAUGACCUCAUUCCGACCUCGGAUGAGGGAAUUACGGUGAUUGGAAGGAAAUGUGUCAAAUU
rnacentral:lncRNA from 1 species